UGGCGAUGAUAUCAAACCCGCGCUUCUGAAGGUAAUCGAUGAAGCAAAAAUUUAAACAAUGGUUGAAUUUCUUGAUAUGAGCCA